AUUGAACGCUGGCGGCAUGCCUUACACAUGCAAGUCGAACGGCAGCACGGGUGCUUGCACCUGGUGGCGAGCGGCGAACGGGUGAGUAAUACAUCGGAACAUGUCCUGUAGUGGGGGAUAGCCCGGCGAAAGCCGGAUUAAUACCGCAUACGAUCUACGGAUGAAAGCGGGGGACCUUCGGGCCUCGCGCUAUAGGGUUGGCCGAUAGCUGAUUAGCUAGUUGGUGGGGUAAAGGCCUACCAAGGCGACGAUCAGUAGCUGGUCUGAGAGGACGACCAGCCACACUGGGACUGAGACACGGCCCAGACUCCUACGGGAGGCAGCAGUGGGGAAUUUUGGACAAUGGGCGAAAGCCUGAUCCAGCAAUGCCGCGUGUGUGAAGAAGGCCUUCGGGUUGUAAAGCACUUUUGUCCGGAAAGAAAUCCUUGGCUCUAAUACAGUCGGGGGAUGACGGUACCGGAAGAAUAAGCACCGGCUAACUACGUG
rnacentral:rRNA from 1 species